GACGAACGCUGGCGGCGUGCUUAACACAUGCAAGUCGAGCGGAAAGGCCCUUCGGGGUACUCGAGCGGCGAACGGGUGAGUAACACGUGAGUAACCUGCCCCAGACUUUGGGAUAACCCUCGGAAACGGGGGCUAAUACCGGAUACGACACAGCUUCGCAUGGGGUCUGUGUGGAAAGUUUUUCGGUUUGGGAUGGGCUCGCGGCCUAUCAGCUUGUUGGUGGGGUGAUGGCCUACCAAGGCGACGACGGGUAGCCGGCCUGAGAGGGCGACCGGCCACACUGGGACUGAGACACGGCCCAGACUCCUACGGGAGGCAGCAGUGGGGAAUAUUGCACAAUGGGCGGAAGCCUGAUGCAGCGACGCCGCGUGAGGGAAGACGGCCUUCGGGUUGUAAACCUCUUUCAGCAGGGACGAAGCGUAAGUGACGGUACCUGCAGAAGAAGCGCCGGCCAACUACGUG
rnacentral:rRNA from 1 species